rnacentral:rRNA from 1 species
UACGCCUGCAUGAAGCUGGAAUUGCUAGUAAUCAUAGGUCAGCAUACUAUGGUGAAUACGUUCCCGGGCCUUGUACACACCGCCCGUCACACCAUGAGAGUUGAGAAUACCCGAAGUCCAUGUCAAAGUGGCCGAAGGUAGGCUUGAUGAUUGGGGUGAAGUCGUAACAAGGUACC